GAUGAACGCUGGCGGCGUGCCUAAUACAUGCAAGUCGAGCGAACGGACGAGAAGCUUGCUUCUCUGAUGUUAGCGGCGGACGGGUGAGUAACACGUGGAUAACCUACCUAUAAGACUGGGAUAACUUCGGGAAACCGGAGCUAAUACCGGAUAAUAUUUUGAACCGCAUGGUUCAAAAGUGAAAGACGGUCUUGCUGUCACUUAUAGAUGGAUCCGCGCUGCAUUAGCUAGUUGGUAAGGUAACGGCUUACCAAGGCAACGAUGCAUAGCCGACCUGAGAGGGUGAUCGGCCACACUGGAACUGAGACACGGUCCAGACUCCUACGGGAGGCAGCAGUAGGGAAUCUUCCGCAAUGGGCGAAGGCCUGACGGAGCAACGCCGCGUGAGUGAUGAAGGUCUUCGGAUCGUAAAACUCUGUUAUUAGGGAAGAACAUAUGUGUAAGUAACUGUGCACAUCUUGACGGUACCUAAUCAGAAAGCCACGGCUAACUACGUG
rnacentral:rRNA from 1 species